UCCCUCCCUCCGGGCCCGCGGAGGGCGAGUGGUCGGGCAGAGGCGCCCCAGGCCUGACGGCUCCCCCCCCCGCCGCUUUCUCUCCCUCCCUCCCCUCCUCCCUCUCGGCAGCCCCCUUGGUGGAGCCGCGAGAGGCCGGCGGGCUCCGCUUCUGGCUGGCUCCCUUUCGCGGAGGUUUCGCUUGCCUUCCAGGCCGCCCAUCCCUGAAGCCCCGCAGGAGGACUCGGCGCUCGCCAAGGGGAAUUGGCCGGACCGCCGCGGACUUCCGUCCUGGAGCGCCUGGAAAAGGCCUGAGGCGGCCGCGGCAGCAGGUGAAGCCGAGAGGCAGCGACCUGGCCCAGGACUGCCCGCUCCGCCAAGUGGGAUUCGAACCCUGCUCUCUCAGGCGCGCUAACCACUGCACCGCAGGGCUGCCUAUCCAGACAGACAGACGGAACCAUCCUGCACAGGCGGCCAUUGGUCUGAAGAUCCCCCCUGCCCUGCCCUGGAGCUGCCUUAGAGCAGAGUCGGCAUGUUGUUUUCUACACCAGCUGGCAGAUGAGGGUUCAGAGAGUUUCUCCAAGUUCUGCCUAGAGCGAUGGAAGCUGUGAGCUGCUGCCUGUGAAAGAAGCCCCUGAGGCUGCACUGACCCUUCCCUUACUGGUGUUCAUGCAAGGAGCCAUUAUCCCAACUGGAUGAGCUGAACUCCUUAAAAUGCUGCUACAGCAAUCAUGGAAGAUGGACACUUCUCUAAAUGCCAUCUCAAGAAGCCCUGCCCCCACUUUAGAAGACAGACAUCUGGGCUCACUGAAGUUAUGGAGGUGUAUAAGAAUUAUGCAUAUUUAUACGUAUUGAGCUCUGGGCUGGAAAGCAGGAAGCAUUGUUGCUCUGGUGGAUCCCAAUAUGCAUCUGUGGCAGGAAUAAGUUUUUGCUCCAUGUGUACGGUCCUGCUGGGAAGUGCAAGCUUAGUGUACCACAGAGAAUGAUAUUGGGGGCGGGGAGCUUGACAGUUUUGAAAGAAGAAGCACCUUUUAAAGGGAAUUGCACGAAAACAGACCUGAAGUUAAAACAAAAAAUUAAAAAAAUUCCUUCCAGUAGCACCUUAGAGACCAACUAAGUUUGUCAUUGGUAUGAGCUUUCGUGUGCAUGCACACUUCUUCAGAUACCAAAAGCUCAUACCAAUGACAAUCUUAGUUGGUCUCUUAAGGUGCUACUGGAAGGAAUUUUUUUUAAUUUUUUGUUUCGACUACAUCAGACCAACACGGCUACCUACCUGUAACUAGACCUGAAGUUUGUUUGUUUGUUUGUUUGUUAAAUGGGCUGUUCUUCUGUGUGAUAUGUUUUUAUCUGCAGCACUUGGGUUCAUAGGCAUAGCCAGGAUUUUGGGGGGGGAGGGCAGAACCUCAGUUAGUUAAGUAUUUUUAUGGAUUUACUUGAUUUAGGGGGGCAGAUCCCCCCCCCCCGCUAUGCCCAUGGCUGGGUCUGUUGUGGAUGUUUUGGAAGGGGGCGUUGCCAGACCAACUCUCCAUUUCCAUAGUUUCACUUUCAACCCUAUUACUUUCUCAGUUGGAUAAGUCAGACCUCGCCCUAGAAAAUACUUAAAGUGGUUUACAAGAAGUUGAAAUUGCAAGAAAAAGAAUAAAUCAUGUUUUAAAGGCUAAUUUUUGUUUGUUAAUUUAUUUAUUGUAAUCCUAACUUUUUAUAAGCCACCCUGGGUAUUGCCAUUGCAUUAGAAGGUAGAGUAUAAAAUUAAUAGCCUACAUAUGGCAGCAGUGGGAUUGAAAGUGAAACAAAAUGUGGCUGGACAGCUGGUCUGACAUGGAUUCGUUCCAAAACAGUACCGUUUUCUCUUUCGCCCAUAUUUCAGAAAGCUACUAAACUUUAUCAUGCUACAGAACUCUGCUCAGCACAACUGUCCCCUCGCUCUGCCCUGCUCCAGUUCUAGAGGGGAGUGUAUGGCCCCUUCUAAUGUGUGCAUAUAUGUGAGAAACGUUACAGUGGAAUGCAAAAUCUACAUGGAUCUUGAAGGACAAUUCCAAUUGCUUGUGGAUCUUUUACACACCAAAAAGGGGAGAUAUAUUUUCUGCAACAUUGCAGGGAGCAAUAAAAUACCAUCAGUUUUGACGGAUCACAAAGAUCAAGAGGAACAAGAAGAUGAAGUAUCGUAUAGGAGUGGUAUUAAAGCGACUAGAGCCGGACAGCUGCAAAGGACGGCCCAGCUAAGGGCCAAAUGACUUAUCUAUUCGGUAAGUGCAGUUAUUGCACACACUGUCAGCACUGGGAUUGGAGGGCACAUCUGGAUCACGACACCAGCAUUGAGCAGGUGGGUUUUAACUCUUAACCCUUGCUGUGGGCCCAAUCCAGGUUAGAGGCCUUGAACCUGCAGUUUGGAAAAACAAUACCCAUUUGCUUCAGUGGGAGCUUCAGCACACACACACACACACACACCACAUCUAAAUUGCAGGAAGAGGGUCCUUUAUCUGGACUGAGCAGGGGACAAAGAGUUAAAGUCCCCCACACUGGAAUCCUGAUCCAAACUGGUCCUCCUUGUGCCACACUUGGCAAUUUGUGUCAACCAAACCAAACCAAAACCUGCACUCAAAAGAUCCCUAUGGACCAUGUUUUCAGUGAUUUCUUGCUUUGGAGUGAUAUAUUAAGAAAUAGGAAUACUGUAGCAGGUAUGACUUUAUUGUAGCACUAACUAUAAACAGAGCAUUCUUAUGUCAUACUUGCCAAUUCCUGCUCUUGUUUUCUGGACUAAUAAUAUCCAAAAGCAAUGAAACAGCAGGUUCUUACUAACUUAAGUAUGUGUUUGGACUUAAAUACCUUGUCUACUCCUUGAGACAGCCCAUGAAGCUUGCACAAAAACAGCUUUCACAAGGGUGAGUUGUUUAGUAAUUACUAAUAGUGAUCAGACUCUAGUAGGCAUAAUAAGCUCUACUCAAUAGGGUUGUGCUUCUUAUCAUAAUUAGACUUUGUACUUGCUGUCACAGAGCUGAGGCAAAACAAUUAAAGAUAAAUGUCACUGGAAGUUCAAGACUGAAUACAAAUUGUUCUUUCUGGCUUAGGUUUAAUAGUUGAUGUCCUUGUUUUACCCAGUUUGACCCCUCCUUAGUAGAAAUCAAUGGACCACUUUUCUGCUGUGCAUUUUUACAAGUGUAAAUCUAACACUACACAAGCAAAACAUACAACUUUACAGGUCAGCUCCUACUUUCUCUCCAGUUCUCUACACUGUUUUCUAAUCAAUGCAAGUCUCUUGUUACAUUCGUCCUUAGAAAACAACAGCCGUAUUUUAAGAUGCUGAGGCACAUGCCAGUAUGUCUGUCAUUCCGUUAGACUACAAAGGCUGUUUGAAAAUUUAGCCAGGAAAGCUAUGGCUGCAAUCAGUAGCCUACUUUCUCUGGAGCAGAGCCACUUACUUUGAUGGGACUUCUUCAGAAAGAAUGUCAUGUGGACUAUAACAAAAACUGCUUUUAACACUCUUGCUUAUUCUAGGAAUAUAUAUAAAGACGAUUCUCGUCAUCUCUGGACUUUAACUGGUAAGCUCUGAUUUCUGUGUUAAUUACAAACUUUUGUAUGGUACAGAAUAAACGUGCCACUUUUUGCUUUA